rnacentral:lncRNA from 1 species
UGGGGUCGCAGAGUCAGACACGACUGAGUGACUGAACUGAACUGAGGCAGGUAACACAGAUUCCAUUCUAAACUUUGUUUCUCCUCCAUCACCCAAACAUUUCUGUGGGAUUGUGAUACAACACAUUCACAAUCUGAAAUGCCCUCCAGCCACGUUACCUCAAGGGACAGGUAGGGCGGCCGUGUAAAGUGCAGAGAAGUCCCCCCGGAAGCCCCUCCCACAGCAGACGGCCAGCAGUAAUUUAACUACAACACCAAAGUGAAUGGAAGCCUCAUAAAUACAACUCAGUGAACCCAGACUAAACACAUCCUGAACUUAUCUUCCCCUUAGCUGGGUCCCCACAAAUCCUCUCACCUUCUCUAAGGCCACUCAAUGCAGCAGAAAUCUAUAGCCAAGGAAAUCAGAGCAGAGAGACAGACAGCUUAACAAUCACGGUUAAAGGAUCUGACUUUUGUAAUUUUACCAAACAUAUCGCCUCAUGGAUGUAAUGCUACGGUUCCCACCCUCAGAUCCUUGGAAAGGGUUAUACAAGUUUCACUGGGACCUAAAACUUCUUUUGCUUCCUGGUAAUCCCCUCUGAGUCAACCUCCAGCAUGAAGCACCACAUUUCCCCUGAGAUAUCUCAAGGGGAACCAGAGUGCUUUCCGGCACCGCCAACCAGAAUGCUUUCCAGCGGACCCACUCUCCACUCUCGAGGAUAUCCUUGGGGCAGAGAAGUGAUGUCAGGGCCACGGAAGGAAAGGCAGAAACAUCGGAGGUUCUAAAAUGGCCGAAUGAAAACCAUCCGUGA